AACACAUGAAGAAGAACUGCUAUUAAUUAGAAAAGGUGAAAAUCUGAUUAAACAGGGUAAUCAACUUAUCAAGCAGGGUGAGCGUAAAAUAAAAGAAGGGGAAUUACUGCUUCGUACUCAUGGAUCCAAUGUAAACAGUGUACCAUGUAGAGUACCUAAAUCAUCUGCAGUCAAUACAUCUUGCACACCAAAACCUAGAAAGUCUUUUAUUAAGCUUACAAACAGGAUGAAGCGUAAAUGAACAGAUAGUCUUAGAGAACAAGAGGUGGAAGAACUGCAACAUACUGUCAAAAGGUUUAAAUCUAAUUCUUCUACUGAUGCAACUAUGAAAAGAGGUGUAGAUGAUCGCUCUGUGUAUAGUAUAGUGUUUGUACUGCUGGAGAUCCGAAGUGGAGAAAAAAUAAUAUGGAAAAAUUUAAUU